rnacentral:lncRNA from 1 species
GAUGGACAACCAUAGAAGCGGGGAAAACCUUAGAAAUGAGGUAAAUUAUUUGUCAUUUUCGUUCUAUUAAUUUCUAUGUCAUAUUAAUUUUUAUUUAAAUGUUUCUUGCAAUUUAUAUAUUUUGCUAAUAUUUAUUGUAUUUUUUUUUUUUAUACAUGUUGCAUUUUUUUUAAAAUUUAUUGCUUUUGCAUUAGUUUUUUUUUUACAUGUUGCAUUGCCAAUAUUUUUUUAAAGUUUCUUGCAUUUCCAUUUAAUUUUUUUU